UGUAAUAUGAAUUUUCAUCAGAUGAGUUGCCAAAAUACUAUAUGAAAGGAGGUCAUUACUGAAGAUUUGAAGAGCACACAUCAACAAACUAUUGUGACCCUGGGCUUAGUUGCAUUAUAUUGGAUAUUUACUGGGCCAUGCAGUGUUUGUUUUAGAGUGACAGAAGGACCAAUAUAAGAUGAAACUUGUUUUAACUUUCCCACCUCACAGUCUAUAUGUGUGCACUGCUCCUCUUGUCUCCGGGCUGCAGACACCUGCCCUCAUUGCUGGGGAGGUCAGGUUACAAUGAUGAGGCAAGAUCUGGCCAAUCAGCUCCUGUGAGAACGACGAAUGAAGGUGGUGGGAACUCUCCUCCCUUCUUUCUCUUGCUCUCUUCCUCUAUCUCCGCUCUGACGGCUUUACACAACCUUACCUGGGAAACUCACACAAGUAAAGGGAGGGGCCAGCAACCUGCCCACCUAAUGAAUACAAAACAAAACCUUUUACCAACAGAAAAAGUCAUCUACAUGUGACAAAGGCUACCUGGGCAAUAAAAGGCAGAACAGACAAAUGAAAGAGCA
ensembl:lncRNA